AUUGAACGCUGGCGGCAGGCCUAACACAUGCAAGUCGAACGAGUGGCGGACGGGUGAGUAAUGUCUGGGAAACUGCCUGAUGGAGGGGGAUAACUACUGGAAACGGUAGCUAAUACCGCAUACCAUCAGAUGUGCCCAGAUGGGAUUAGCUUGUUGGUGGGGUAACGGCUCACCAAGGCGACGAUCCCUAGCUGGUCUGAGAGGAUGACCAGCCACACGGUAACUGAGGCACGGUGCAGACUGCUACGGUAGGCAGCGGUGGGGAAUAUUGCACAAGUGGCGCAAGGCGUAUGAAGCCAUGCCGCUUGGAUGAAGAAGGCCUGAGGGUUGUAAAGUACUUUCAGCGGGGAGGAGUUACCCGCAGAAGAAGCACCGGCUAACUCCGUGCCAGCAGCCGCGGUAAUUC
rnacentral:rRNA from 1 species